ACAUGGGUGAUGGGUAUCAGAGCAACUUUUCACUAUAAUGCACUAUAAUUCUCAAUUACAAUUGUCUGGGUGGCGGGUGCUGACAAAAACUGCCUUCCAACCCCCCAUACAUUUUUUUCUGGAAUAGCCCUUAAAUAAAAAGCUCUAGACUAUAGACAUUAACAAUCAACAUGAUACACAACAAAACAUUACAAAACAUUACAAAACAUUACAAAACAUUACAAAACAUUGUUUUGAUUGAAACAACUAUUCAAAACAUAAAACAUAAAUAUCACAAAAUUGUUGAAAGAAUAUAUAAUAUAAAGAAUAUAAAAUAUUAAUGAAAUAUUAAUUAAAUAUGUCAUGGAUUUUUGAUUUAUUGCAUUUCAAAGUUCAGAACUAAUGAAAAGUAAUUAAGAUUAUUAAGUUGUAUUAUGAACCCUUAAUAUGU
rnacentral:lncRNA from 1 species